UAGUGGCAGACGGGUGAGUAACAUGUGGGUAUCUACCCUUUGGCCUGGAAUAACACGAGGAAACUUGUGCUAAUACCGGAUAAGUCUUUACGGAGAAAGCUUUAUGCACCAUUGGAUGAGCCCGCACUUGAUUAGUUUGUUGGUAGGGUAAUGGCCUACCAAGACUAUGAUCAAUAGCUGAUUUGAGAGGAUGAUCAGCCACAUUGGGACUGAGACACGGCCCAAACUCCUACGGGAGGCAGCAGUGGGGAAUCUUGCACAAUGGAGGAAACUCUGAUGCAGCGAUGCCGCGUGAGUGAAGAAGGCCUUUGGGUUGUAAAGCUCUUUCGUCGGGGAAGAAAAUGACUGUACCCGAAUAAGAAGGUCCGGCUAACUUCGUGCCAGCAGCCGCGGUAAUACGAAGGGACCUAGCGUAGUUCGGAAUUACUGGGCUUAAAGAGUUCGUAGGUGGUUGAAAAAGUUGGUGGUGAAAUCCCAGAGCUUAACUCUGGAACUGCCAUCAAAACUUUUCAGCUAGAGUAUGAUAGAGGAAAGCA
rnacentral:rRNA from 1 species